UACAGAGGGGGCAAGCGUUAUUCGGAAUUAUUGGGCGUAAAGGGCGCGUAGGCGGCCUGGCAAGUGGAUGGUGAAAUCCCUCGGCUUAACCGAGGAACUGCCAUCCAGACUGCUUGGCUUGAGACCGGGAGAGGUGAGUGGAAUUCCCAGUGUAGCGGUGAAAUGCGUAGAUAUUGGGAGGAACACCAGUGGCGAAGGCGGCUCACUGGUCCGGUACUGACGCUGAGGUGCGAAAGCGUGGGGAGCAAACAGG
rnacentral:rRNA from 1 species